rnacentral:rRNA from 1 species
CCUACGGUGUGCAGCAGUGAGGAAUAUUUGUCAAUGGCCGAGAGGCUGAACCAGCCAAGUCGCGUGAGGGCAGACGGCCCUACGGGUUGUAAACCUCUUUUGUCGGGGAGCAAAGCGAUUCACGGGUGACUCAUUGAGAGUACCCGAAGAAAAAACAUCGGAGAACUCCGUGCCAGCAGCCGCGGUAAUACGGAGGAGGCGACCGUUAUCCGUAUUUAUGGGGUUUACAGGGUGCGCAGGCGGAGGUGCAAGUCAGCGGUCACAUUGCGGGGCUCAACCCCGUACUGCCGUUGAAACUGCAUCCCUUGAGUGCGCGAGAAGUAUGCGGAAUGCGGGGUGUAGCGGUGAAAUGCAUAGACAUCACGCAGAACUCCGAUUGCGAAGGAAGCAUACCGGCGCGCAACCGACGCUCAUGCACGAAAGCGUGGGUAUCGAACAGGAUUAGAUACCCCAGUAGUC